rnacentral:rRNA from 1 species
UACGGGGGGGGCAAGCGUUGUUCGGAAUUACUGGGCGUAAAGGGCUCGUAGGCGGCCAACUAAGUCAUACGUGAAAUCCCCCGGCUUAACCGGGGAACUGCGUCUGAUACUGGAUGGCUUGAGUUCGGGAGAGGGAUGCGGAAUUCCAGGUGUAGCGGUGAAAUGCGUAGAUAUCUGGAGGAACACCGGUGGCGAAGGCGGCAUCCUGGACCGAUACUGACACUGAGGAGCGAAAGCCAGGGGAGCAAACGGG